rnacentral:rRNA from 1 species
UACGGGGGGGGGCAAGCGUUGUUCGGAAUUACUGGGCGUAAAGGGCUCGUAGGCGGCCAACUAAGUCAGACGUGAAAUCCCUCGGCUUAACCGGGGAACUGCGUCUGAUACUGGAUGGCUUGAGUUCGGGAGAGGGAUGCGGAAUUCCAGGUGUAGCGGUGAAAUGCGUAGAUAUCUGGAGGAACACCGGUGGCGAAGGCGGCAUCCUGGACCGACACUGACGCUGAGGAGCGAAAGCCAGGGGAGCAAACAGGG